GUUUGUUGACAGGGAAGCACUUCCGUUACUUAGAAAAUGGAUUCAGAAACAUGUUGGUUUCCGCUGACUGAGGUGGGAAUUGAUAGGAAAUACUGUCACACAGUAGAGGUGGGAGGUGAACGUCACAGAUCCCUGCUGCAGUCCGUUUAGGAUUAAACCCCACAAAACAAAAAAAGAAGAAGCUUAGCGUUCCUCGUCUUCUACUUUUAAAAUGCCAUAUUUAUUUAAAUGCAAUUAUUAAAAGAAUCAGCAUCAGGAAGGAAAACAAGCAACUGAAAACUGUGGAUGUGGUUGUUUCUUUGGGGUUUACAUACGAGGAUGCCUGUAUGUUUUUGCUACUCUUCAGACCCGGAAGGUAACAUGACAUUUAAACAAAGUGGAUGUGUAUUACUUUUCAUAAAUUGAGAAACUGACUAAAAGGAAAUUGAUGCUUGAUCCUAACUGCAGCAAUAACUGGAACUGUUUCAAGCCAGCUCGUCUUUCCAACACAGACAAUUAAUGUAAAAAAAAAACAAAACUACAAAUAAAACUUCAUACCUCACUGUUAGGCAAUGACAAACAGCAUUAGUGAAAUUUUUAAGAGAUACAAGUCUUACUUUCUAAUGUUAUUUUUUAUUAUUAACAAUUUUCUUCAUAUUAAUUUCUUUUCUUUUUUUUCUUUUUUUUAUUAUGUUUUACUUGAAUGGCCUCAACGUUCUUUGUCAGAGCAGCUCAAAAAACGUCCUUGAGUAUCUUAUACCUGACUUUGAACAGAGGAGAAAUGGACACAAGAACAGAUCACAGAAAAAGAAAUGGAUCUGAUUUGUUUAGAGUGGAGUUAACAUCUGAGCUGCAGUAGAAAUCUCUCUCAUCUUUUCGUAUACAAAACAGAUAUGAGCUUGAGAUUUGACCAUCAGAGAGGUUGCAAUGCCACUGUAAACGAAGCCAUUUCAUUAAUGUAAAUAAUGUUAAGGAAAGGGUGCCAUCUGAGAAAAAGCGUGGCAUUUUUUAUGAGCCACUUUUAAUAUGCCACACUUAUUUAAAUGCAACUAUAAAACGACUAGCGUGAGGAAGAAUAAAAAAAGCAAUACAGGAUGUUUUGUUUUUUUUUUACUACAAACUGUGGAUGAGGCUUAAAAAUUCAGGCUGCGUAGACGCGCUGCAGGCGAGGUUCCUGUGAACGCUGCGGGGUUGGAACAAUGGAUGGUGGAGAGCUUGAGAUGAAGAUGACGUUCACAAUGAAGAUGUUCACAGAGCAUGCUAAUUCUGCUCCAUCUUUGACAGCUACUGUACAAGCUGUGCUGCAGCUAAUACAUAAAUUAGGAAUGAAAUAGAGCCAAUAAUGAACUCAUUAAAUGUCUUUGAUGUAGUAUUUUUACCCCUUUAUCAAAUUUUCCAUCGCACUGGAGUCACAAACUAUUAUGCAUUUUAUUUUUUUAUGUGACAGAGCAAAAAAAAAAAGGGAGUAAAUAAUUGCUAGGUAGAAGAAAUUUUUACACCAAGAUUUUUUUUUUUAGCACAAAUCCUGAAAUAAGUGAGAUCAGAAACGCUCCGAAGCAGAACAAUGAAGGAGAAAUAAAACCACUCCUGAUAGCUUCCAUCUUCAUACACAUCGUCACUUGUAGGUAACUGACACACGCCGCCGUUUUUCGGUGUCCUUCCCACAAUCUGUCUUGUACAUGCACGCCUGGGAUUGUUACAGUAAGGAGGUGUCAGCCUCCCGCUGCUGCUACCGAGCUCUGUUCAUAGCUGAUUAAUGGUGUCAUUAGUCUCCGUGCCAGAGGCUCUACUGAGACUGUUCCUACAUGACCCGGUUCCGGAUAAGAGGAUGAUGACGAGUAUAAGUCAGAAUAAAAACUAUCUGCCAUCUUAUUUAUCGCUGCUCUGCAAAGACAGGAAAGACGAGGAAGCCUGACAGCUCGUGACAUGAGAGCAGCUCCUUAAUGCACCGACAAAGUCAGAAAGUGAAGGAAAAUGUGUUGAACGAAGCCAAAAUGAGAGGCGAGGAGAGGAAUGAGGGAUGUCAAAAAAAAAUAAAAGCAUCACCCAGGAUCUUUCCUUUGCUGUGUCAAAAAUAUUUUGAAGCUAGUUUUUACUUUAUGACCUAUAGAGCAUUACAAGAGAAUCAAAAAAUGUGAUACAAGCACAGACAAAGGCUGAAAUAAUCGACUACCGUUCCCACAGAAGACUCCUCUAUUGUAUGGGACUAUAGGACUAACGAAGGCCUUGUUCAAACAUCUAAUCAGUGGAAAAAGAGGAAAAAAAAGAACUGACAGAGAAUCAGCAUCAGAUUGCUGAAGGGCAGAGGCGUAUCAGCGGCUGCACACAUUUCCUGUCGCAGUGAUAAUCACCAACAGCCGAGAUUAAAGAGCGACUCGA